rnacentral:miRNA from 1 species
CUUUCCUAACUUUUUCUUCUCUCUCUCUUUCUCUCUCCCUUCCUUUUUUUUUUUUUUUUUUCUCUUCUCCCUUUGACUCGCUUCUAUCUCACACUCACAUCCACAUAUUUAUAUUAAAAAAAAAAAAAAAAGGAGGAGGAGGAGAAAAAAAAGGAGGGGAGGGAGAAAUAGAAAGGAAGAAAAGAGGGAGGGGAGAA